rnacentral:tRNA from 1 species
GGGGUUGAGGCUCAGCGGUAGAGCAUUCACCUAGCACGUGCAAGGCCCUGGGUUCAAUCCUUAGCACCACA